rnacentral:rRNA from 1 species
AACGAACGCUGGCGGCAUGCCUAACACAUGCAAGUCGAACGAGAUCUUCGGGUCUAGUGGCGCACGGGUGCGUAACGCGUGGGAAUCUGCCCUUUGGUUCGGAAUAACAGUUGGAAACGACUGCUAAUACCGGAUGAUGACGAAAGUCCAAGAUUUAUCGCCAGAGGAUGAGCCCGCGUAGGAUUAGCUAGUUGGUGUGGUAAAGGCGCACCAAGGCGACGAUCCUUAGCUGGUCUGAGAGGAUGAUCAGCCACACUGGGACUGAGACACGGCCCAGAAUCGUACGGGGGGCAGCAGUGGGGAAUAUUGGACAAUGGGCGAAAGCCUGAUCCAGCAAUGCCGGGUGAGUGAUGAAGGCCUUAGGGUUGUAAAGCUCUUUUACCCGGGAUGAUAAUGACAGUACCGGGAGAAUAAGCUCCGGCUAACUCCGUGCCAGCAGCCGCGGUAA